UACAGAGACUGCAAGCGUUAUUCGGAUUCACUGGGCGUAAAGGGUGCGCAGGCGGCCAAGUGUGUGAGGCGUGAAAGCCCGGGGCUUAACCUCGGAAUUGCACCUCAAACUACAUGGCUAGAGCAUUGGAGAGGGUAGCAGAAUUCACGGUGUAGCAGUGAAAUGCGUAGAUAUCGUAAGGAAGACCAGUGGCGAAGGCGGGUCUCUGGACAGUUCCUGGCGCUGAGGCGCGAAGGCCAGGGGAGCAAACGGG
rnacentral:rRNA from 1 species